rnacentral:lncRNA from 1 species
GCUGGGAAUCUGUAUGCUGAAAAAUUCAAUAGGACUCUAAGGGUACAAAGAGCCAAAAAAACUUGAGUGUUUGUCCCAUAUUGAUAACUACUGCGGUUUUGCUUAUGGACAUGUACCAACUUGGCAGGUUUAAUUACAUUUGUAUUGUAGUCAAUGCUGCCUCUUAAAAAUAUGCUUUAUCUCCCCAGGGCAAAUCAUACCCCUUCAAGGGCCCAUUCCCACCUGUAUGGAAUCCAAUUACCUACCUAGACCAUAAUAACCUUUGGAGGACAAUGGAUGAUAUGGGGCAAGAGAUCCCCAGUGAUGCCCCAUGGAAGGCCCCCCUUGCGGAAGAGUGGGACCACAUGACCAUGAAGGAGCUGCUGAACAAGAUCUGCUGGACUAGCUCUGCAAAGCAGCUUGGCACUCUUUUUGUAAACCUGUGUGUCACUGCCGAGACUCAUGAGGUUUCUGCUCUCUGGUUCCUGUGGUACGUGAAGCAGUGUGGGGGCACGACCAGAAUCAUCUCAACAACCAGUGGAGGCCAGGAAAGGAAAUUUGUGGGCGGAUCUGGUCAAGUGAGUGAGCGGAUAAUGAAUCUCCUUGGGGACCGAGUGAAACUAGAGAGGCCUGUGAUCCACAUUGACCAAACAGGAGAAAGUGUCCUUGUGGAGACUCUAAACCAUGAAAUGUAUGAGGUAACCAAGGCCCCUAACCUGUGGGAAAGAGCCUACAGUGCUACAGGUGACCAAAGCCUAAAUAAAGCCAAG